GUGGUAGCUCAGUCGUAGAGCACCUGCUCUGCAUUCGGAAGGUCCCGGGUUCGAAUCCUGACAUCUCCC